GUGUGUGUGUGUGUGUAUAUGUGUGUGAGUGAGUGAGCGCUCUCGGACUGAUGUGAAUUUGACCACCAAUGCGAACAUUCACAGACAACCCGGACUUAAAUAAUCCACCAUGAUUUCAUAAACACACACACGCUCACGCACACACACACGCUCUCACACACACACACACACUCGCAGCUGUCCUGGCAUGAGGUAUGCAGAGUGAGAGACGAGCCUCACAACACAGGAAGGACUGUCAGCUGCCCCCUCCAGCCUCAACACAGCUGCUGUCAAAGACGUACCCACUGUGACAACAGUACACACACACACACACACACACACACACACACACACAGCAGAACACACAGUGUGUACGUACAACAGCUGGUGUGGUUGAGCACAACAUGGAACCAUGUGAUUCAUACAACAACCACUGAAAUCAUGCCCUUUAAAGUUGAGAGAUUGGCUCUGGCCCAUAUUGAAGUCGUCUGACAUACUCUUUAGGUAAGAGGGGCCCUUUCCAACAUCACAACCUCUGUGAAUGAUUAGCAGAGAAAUACCCUUUAGGUAAGAGGGGCCCUUUCCAACAUCACAACCUCUGUGAAUGAUUAGCAGAGAAAUACCCUUUAGGUAAGAGGGGCCCUUUCCAACAUCACAACCUCCGUGAAUGAUUAGCAGAGAAAUACUCUUUAGGUAAGAGGGGCCCUUUCCAAUAUCACAACCUCCGUGAAUGAUUAGCAGAGAAAUACCCUUUAGGUAAGAGGGGCCCUUUCCAACAUCACAACCUCCGUGAAUGAUUAGCAGAGAAAUACUCUUUAGGUAAGAGGGGCCCUUUCCAACAUCACAACCUCCGUGAAUGAUUAGCAGAGAAAUACUCUUUAGGUAAGAGGGGCCCUUUCCAACAUCACAACCUCUGUGAAUGAUUAGCAGAGAAAUACCCUUUAGGUAAGAGGGGCCCUUUCCAACAUCACAACCUCUGUGAAUGAUUAGCAGAGAAAUACCCUUUAGGUAAGAGGGGCCCUUUCCAACAUCACAACCUCUGUGAAUGAUUAGCAGAGAAAUACCCUUUAGGUAAGAGGGGCCCUUUCCAACAUCACAACCUCUGUGAAUGAUUAGCAGAGAAAUACCCUUUAGGUAAACCGUUACAGUUCUAAUGCAGAAACACUCAUUUAUAUUUUUAAAGGGCUUCCCUACAUGACUACUGUUACCCCUCUAAUGCACAGCAUGUCUCUGUCUGACGACGUCCUGUCUCUCUGUCUGACGAUGUCCUGUCUCUCUGUCUGACAAUGUCCUGUCUCUCUGUCUGAAGAUGUCCUGUCUCUCUGUCUGAAGAUGUCCUGUCUCUCUGUCUGAAGAUGUCCUGUCUCUCUGUCUGAAGAUGUCCUGUCUCUGUCUGACGAUGUCCUGUCUCUCUGUCUGACGAUGUCCUGUCUCUCUGUCUGAAGAUGUCCUGUCUCUCUGUCUGAAGAUGUCCUGUCUCUCUGUCUGAAGAUGUCCUGUCUCUCUGUCUGAAGAUGUCCUGUCUCUCUGUCUGAAGAUGUCCUGUCUCUCUGUCUGAAGAUGUCCUGUCUCUCUGUCUGAAGAUGUCCUGUCUCUCUGUCUGAAGAUGUCCUGUCUCUCUGUCUGAAGAUGUCCUGUCUCUCUGUCUGAAGAUGUCCUGUCUCUCUGUCUGAAGAUGUCCUGUCUCUCUGUCUGACGAUGUCCUGUCUCUCUGUCUGACGAUGUCCUGUCUCUCUGUCUGACGAUGUCCUGUCUCUGUCUGACGAUGUCCUGUCUCUGUCUGACGAUGUCAUGUCUCUGUCUGACGAUGUCAUGUCUCUGUCUGACGAUGUCAUGUCUCUGUCUGACGAUGUCUCUGUCUGACGAUGUCCUGUCUCUGUCUGACGAUGUCCUGUCUCUGUCUGACGAUGUCCUGUCUCUGUCUGACGAUGUCCUGUCUCUGUCUGACGAUGUCCUGUCUCUGUCUGACGAUGUCCUGUCUCUGUCUGACGAUGUCCUGUCUCUGUCUGACGAUGUCCUGUCUCUGUCUGACGAUGUCCUGUCUCUGUCUGACGAUGUCCUGUCUCUGUCUGACGAUGUCCUGUCUCUGUCUGACGAUGUCCUGUCUCUGUCUGACGAUGUCAUGUCUCUGUCUGACGAUGUCAUGUCUCUGUCUGACGAUGUCUCUGUCUGACGAUGUCCUGUCUCUGUCUGACGAUGUCCUGUCUCUGUCUGACGAUGUCUCUGGCUGACGAUGUCUCUGGCUGACGAUGUCUCUGGCUGACGACGUCCUGUCUCUGGCUGACGACGUCCUGUCUCUGGCUGACGACGUCCUGUCUCUGGCUGACGACGUCUCUGGCUGACGAUGUCUCUGUCUGACGACGUCUCUGUCUGACGACGUCCUGUCUCUCUGUCUGACGACGUCCUGUCUCUCUGUCUGACGACGUCCUGUCUCUCUGGCUGACGACGUCCUGUCUCUCUGUCUGACGACGUCCUGUCUCUCUGUCUGACGACGUCCUGUCUCUCUGGCUGACGACGUCCUGUCUCUCUGGCUGACGACGUCCUGUCUCUCUGGCUGACGACGUCCUGUCUUCAGUGUGGGAAAACGCCCUGUACUCAGAGAAUUGGGAAAAAAACGUUGUAACCCUUGAGGAGAUUACAAAACAGGAAAGGACAACGUUUAUCAACUAAGAUAAGAGGACAUUUUGUGACCUAGACUCCCAACAUUUUGCUGAAAGGAUUAAGACAUUAUUCUCAUGGAAGCCAUUUGGGGGGGGGGGGGAUGAGACCAAUCAUUGGUGCCUGUUAUAUCUGCCAGUAAGAGUACUCACUGACCAACGCCUUCCACUGGUUUCUGCCUGCCAUGUCUGACCGUGACCACCAGGGAGCGGUGUUGCUACACACUACAUUUCGCCGACUGCUAUCCCCGAUGCUUUUUUUAAACCUGAUGGUACAGAAACAUUUCCAAGCUUGUAAUGAUUUAUUUUACUUAUUUUUUGUUGUUUGUUUGGUCACCGGCUUAACAUGCUUCAUGUUUGUAAAAAUGUAAACAACUAAUUAAAUUAUUUUUUUGUCUUAUUUAUAUAUAUUUUUUAAUGUUUUUUUUUAAUUUUCUGUUUGUUGCUGUGCUUGGGGGAAAGAGCAUUGGCCUCAUAGAUAAAAGCUAACUGAAAUCAAUUGGUUUAAUUCACUUCCUGAUUGAGUCACUGGUCGUAGCCGUUGAAUGGGGCCACUUCUCCAAAGCUCGCACGAAUAAACAUUUAGAUGAAGAUAAUGGUUAGCUUCGAUCAGUCAGAUAAUUAACUUAAGUCUGAAUUAACUGUCAUGUGAUCUGCUCUUUCCAGUUUAGGCACUACAUUUCCCAUCAGCCCUAUUGUGUACAAUGUUGCUCUGGGUACUGUUGGGAAGCUGUGUUUUUUUGUUGUUGUGUGUGUGCAUUGUUGAGGCCUCCGCUUUCUCCAGCGUAAGGCUGUGUCAUAGCUCCGUGAAAACUCUGUGAUAUCCAAGCUAAUAGAGCUCGUCAGCUUGUGGUCUGGUUCGUUUAGUCUUUUUCAAUGGGCAAAAUGAACGGGGAAGGAAAUAGGGGGUUAUAACACGCAAGGUUGACGCAGGCUUGUGAGAGAAAAGUCAUGUUAACUAACUGAUAUUAUGAAGCGUUUAUCUGCGGUUUUUGUUUUUACUCCAUAAAUCUAAAUUCACAAAGCGACGUUAGCCGAUGAAGGUUCUCUCGUAGAACAAGACCUGCAUGUUUUUUUACAUUUUUUUUUUUUUACCUCAGACCAUAUUUUCGGCAGUUAUCCAAAAAUGGCAUUUUGUUUUCCCACAUAAGACUUUGAUUUAGUGCCGACAAAAAGACACCAUUGUCAAAAAUACUGAGGAGGUGUAAUACGAUUUACACACACACACACACACACACACACACACACUCUGUAAAUAGGCACCAUUUCACCUUGUAUUUGAGGUGUGUCGUCCUAAUACUGUAAUCAGGACUUGUUCAUAGGACGGUGGCGUAUGCAUAUUGAUGGAGCUUUAGUCACCUUGCAUGAAGUAGGCAAGAAGAGUGGUCAUUUUGUUGGUUCCCAACUCCUCAUCCUUCUACUACCGUGUCCCUAAGGGAUAUGUGGAAAUGUCUAUUUCCUCUCUUUUGUCUGUUACAUCAUUUUUUUGGGCGCAUAACCACAGUCAGUCGUUGUUGGAAAUUGCAUUUGCGAUUUAACGUUUCAACCAAAAUGAGUUUUAUAAAAAUAAAAAAAAUAAAAAAUGUAAAAAAGGUGGAACCACUACCAUAUUCACUGGUUUAGAAAUUAAUUAUAUUCUUUAAAAUGUUAACUGAACAGAAAUACUGUUGUAUUUUGUAAUAUUUAUAUCAUACCUAUGUAUUUAAAUGAGUUUAUAUAAAAUCUAUAGUUUUUCUCCUCUGUCAUGAAAUGAUUAAAUAAGGAAUUUAACCAU